CAAAACGACUCUCGGCAACGGAUAUCUCGGCUCUUGCAUCGAUGAAGAACGUAGCGAAAUGCGAUACGUGGUGUGAAUUGCAGAAUCCCGUGAACCAUCGAGUCUUUGAACGCAAGUUGCGCCCAAGGCCUUUUGGUUGAGGGCACGUCUGCCUGGG
rnacentral:rRNA from 1 species